CUCUAUUUCCCAAAAUCUGCAGGUUUGCCGAGCAACACCCAGAAAUCAUUUUCCUAAAGGUGAACUUUGAUGAGAACAAGCCCUUAUGCAAAAGCCUAAACAUAAAGGUUCUUCCGUAUUUCCACUUCUACAAGGGAGCUGAUGGCUUGGUCGACUCGUUCUCAUGCUCCCUUGCCAAGCUCCAGAAACUGAAGGAUGCCAUCGCGACUCAUAACAAAGCUCGACAUAGCAAUAGCACCCCGGAUUCUAAUGGUGGCGUUGGUGAUAGCGUGGAUGUAUCUGCAUCUCGCGAUGACAUGCAAUCGUGACCCGAAUUCGAGUUUAUAGCUUUCUAAUUUUUCCAAUCUGUGCAAGUUUGUACAUAGCUCUUUGUAAAAGUAACUGAAUAUAUGCUUUGGUCAUCCAAAUUUCCAGUCUCUUUGGCUAUAAUCUGAUUGCUUCUUGUUUUCCUUAGUAAAUGACUUAAUAUAGACCUCAUUAUUUUCA